GGAUAUAGCUCAGUUGGUAGAGUGCUUGCCUUGCAUGCACAAGGUCCUGGGUUUAAUCCCCAGCUACACA
rnacentral:tRNA from 1 species